ensembl:lncRNA
AUGUUUUUGAUUCAGUUUGUUCAAGUUUUGGGUUAUUUUGAACCUUUUGUUUGAGUCAAAGACUAGUUUUAGUAGAAUCCAUGGAUGCUUCCAUGCACUCUUAAAGGAACUUUGUGGAGGUAAAAAGGAGAAUUCUGCACUUUAUUUUCAUUUUGAAGGUCAGAAAUGUAAAGAUUUGUCCUCCUCAUGAUCCAUUCAAUCCCUGGAUCUGCAGUGGUUUGAUUUCUGGAGAUGCCGAACCUUAAAAUGGCUCCAAAUGUUGGUUUUAAGGGUGAAAAUAGCGAAAUUCCCAGAACACCAACAUGACUGGCCUCUGCAGCAACAACCAGAGUUCAGUUUUGAAUCGUCUUCGUGUCGCAGCUCCAGAUUUUUCACCCAGAAGAGAGAAAAUCGACUCUUUUCUGUUUUCAAAUGGAAACUGAACUCUCUCUCUCUCCGUCUAUGUAACUCGCCCGGUUCUGCCUCUUUAUUCCACCAAUCCGGCGUGUCGGUUCGUUUUCAGCCCAGAGGUCGUUCACUCCUCAAACAGACGCCAAACACAGGCUCCGCCCACUUCCUGUUUCUUCCCCAGACCUGCUCUGAUCUCUGCUUUAACCCUUUAAACUCCACACUGGGCUCCAUCCUGUCUGCCUCCAUCUCUGUUACCGUGGUUACAGACGCCACGCAGUUCAUUUAGUUUCACUUUCAGAGAGUUUUAAUUUCAGACCCUUCUGGGGUUUAAGGACAGAUGCUGUUAAAUAAAUGCAGGAUUCUCGUGUUGAUGAAACCAGGCUGAGUUUGUGGUUCUGAGCAGGAAUAUUGUGUUAAACUGGUUUCUAUGAAUGUUGUCCACCUGCAGCAGGUGUUUCCAGGUGAGUCCUUCAUCACUCCCACUGAUGCUGUUUGUCUUUGUACUGUCGCUGCACUUUGUCUGGUAAUAAAUGUGAAGAGCACAAGUCGAUGUAAAAGAAGUUUCUAAUGAGAAUGAAGUGUCGACAGAAACACGACAAAAAGUCUUCGUCUGUUUUUGUUG